AAACUUUAAAAUUAAUUUUUAUAAAAAUUACUCUUUAUACUUCAUAAAAAUUAAUUUUUAUACUUUUUGCUACUUUAUAAAAAUUACAACUUAACUUUUAUAUAUAUAUAUCAAUUUUUACGAAUGCCUUAUAUGUUGCCAUCAUAUUCCGUUGGUAACCAUGGGCCAUCAAAACAUCACACAUCAGCACCAAGCCCAAUUUGCUAACCAACCCCUUUUUAUAGCACAGUCCUCAACACAGGUUAAGCCAAGCCCAAAUGGGGUUAUUGGAAAAUAAUGCUCACAGUAAAUUUGUCCAUGAGCCGCCACCCUGACUUG
rnacentral:misc_RNA from 1 species